GAUGAACGCUGGCGGCGUGCCUAAUACAUGCAAGUCGAGCGAACGGACGAGAAGCUUGCUUUUCUGAUGUUAGCGGCGGACGGGUGAGUAACACGUGGAUAACCUACCUAUAAGACUGGGAUAACUUCGGGAAACCGGAGCUAAUACCGGAUAAUAUUUUGAACCGCAUGGUUCAAAAGUGAAAGACGGUCUUGCUGUCACUUAUAGAUGGAUCCGCGCUGCAUUAGCUAGUUGGUAAGGUAACGGCUUACCAAGGCAACGAUGCAUAGCCGACCUGAGAGGGUGAUCGGCCACACUGGAACUGAGACACGGUCCAGACUCCUACGGGAGGCAGCAGUAGGGAAUCUUCCGCAAUGGGCGAAAGCCUGACGGAGCAACGCCGCGUGAGUGAUGAAGGUCUUCGGAUCGUAAAACUCUGUUAUUAGGGAAGAAUACAUGUGUAAGUAACUGUGCACAUCUUGACGGUACCUAAUCAGAAAGCCACGGCUAACUACGUG
rnacentral:rRNA from 1 species